AGCUCCAAUAGCGUAUAUUAAAGUUGUUGCGGUUAAAAAGCUCGUAGUUGGGUUUCUGCUGAGGAUGACCGGUCCACCCUCGGGGUGAGCAUCUGGCUCAGCCUGGGCAUCUUCUUGGAGGACGCAGCUGCACUUGACUGUGUGGUGUGGCAUCCAGUGUUUCAAGCAGGCAUGUGCCUUGCAUACACUAGCAUGGAAUGAUAAGAUAGAACCUUGGGUCUAUUUUGUUGGUUUCUAAACCUGAGGUGACAGUUAAUAGGGAUGGCUGGGGGCAUUCGUAUUUAACUGUCAGAGGUGAAAUUCUUGGAUUUGUUAAGGAUGGACAACUGCGAAAGCAUCUGCCAAAGAUGUUUUCA
rnacentral:rRNA from 1 species